CAAUCAAACCGGGAGAUAGCUGGUUCUCCCCGAAAGCUAUUUAGGUAGCGCCUCGUGAAUUCAUCUCCGGGGGUAGAGCACUGUUUCGGCAAGGGGGUCAUCCCGACUUACCAACCCGAUGCAAACUGCGAAUACCGGAGAAUGUUAUCACGGGAGACACACGGCGGGUGCUAACGUCCGUCGUGAAGAGGGAAACAACCCAGACCGCCAGCUAAGGUCCCAAAGUCAUGGUUAAGUGGGAAACGAUGUGGGAAGGCCCAGACAGCCAGGAUGUUGGCUUAGAAGCAGCCAUCAUUUAAAGAAAGCGUAAUAGCUCACUGGUCGAGUCGGCCUGCGCGGAAGAUGUAACGGGGCUAAACCAUGCACCGAAGCUGCGGCAGCGACGCUUAUGCGUUGUUGGGUA
rnacentral:rRNA from 1 species